CACGUAGUUAGCCGUGACUUCCUCGCCGGGUACCAUCACUCAGAAAGCUUUCCACUCUUUCUGCCUUUUGUCCCCGGCAACAGAGCUUUACGAUCCGAAGACCUUCCUCGCUCACGCGGCAUUGCUCGUUCAGGGUUCCCCCCAUUGACGAAAAUUCCCUACUGCUGCCUCCCGCGGGAGUCUGGGCCGUGUCUCAGUCCCAGUGUGGCCGUCCGCCCUCUCAGGCCGGCUAUGCAUCGUCGCCUUGGUGAGCCGUUACCUCUCCAACCAGCUAAUGCACCGCAGGUCCAUCUGCAUGCGGGACUCUUGUCCCCUUUCCAAAAGAGAUGCCUCCUCUUUGCUCAUCCGGUAUCAGCUUCCGUUUCCAGUAAGUUCUCCCGCUCAUGCAGGCAGGUUCCCUACGUGUUACUCCUACCCGUUCGCCACUCAUAUCCGAAGAUACUCCGUUCGACUUGCAUGUAUUGGCAUCGCCGCCAGCGUUACACUCC
rnacentral:rRNA from 1 species